rnacentral:lncRNA from 1 species
GAUGACCCCCCCGCCCCCCCAGGUGUCCUGGAGGACUCAGAGGACGUCCUGCUCAACCCCACCCUGGCGGAGGCGGAGGCGGCGGCGCAGAACGCGGAGCUGCGGCGCAGGAAGCCGGGCUACGACCCCUAUGGGGAGGGGGACGCAGGGGACGGAGCCACCAAGGUGGGGGGGGGGGCACCCCGUGUGUCACCCCUGUGUGUCACCCCAUGGGGGUCACCCCCUUGGGUCACCCCUUGGGUCACCCCAUGGGUCACCCCAUGGGGGUCACCUCCUUGUGUCACCUCCUUGUGUCGCCUCGUGUCACCCCAUGGGGGUCACCCCCUUGUGUCACCCAUGGGGGUCACCCCCUUGUGUCACCCCCUUGUCACCCCAUGGGGGUCACCUCCUUGUGUCACCUCCUUGUGUCCCCCCUUGUGUCCCCCCGUGUGCCACCCCAUGGGGGUCACCCCUUGUGUCACCUCCUUGUGUCACCCCAUGGGGGUCACCCCGUGUGUCACCCUUUGUGUCACCCCUUGUGUCACCUCUUUGUGUCACCCCAUGCGUUACUGGGUCACCUCAUUGGGGCCACCUCGUGUGUCACUGUGCCACCUCGUGUGCCACCUCUUCUGUCACCUCUUCUGUCACUGG